CAUGAUCCUAUGCACAAAAUACCUGACGCCCAUUUAGAUCGACUCAGAGCUUGGAUCACAGACAAGCGUACGAAAGAUGAGGUGCGUGAAACUUUUCACGGGAAAAAAAUCGAAGGAGUUUUUCAGAGACUUGUUCAUGUGUCGUCGGUGGUUGGCGGAUGAGCAUUUGGAUGCACUGUUUCUUCUCAUUCGCUUCAACAUUAAGACAGCCAUGAUACCUACUGCUCAAAACUUCACAACUGUAGACACACUAUUCAUGCGACUAUUAGUUGCGAAGUGGCCUG